rnacentral:misc_RNA from 1 species
GCGGAGGAAAAGAAACCAACAGGGAUUGCCUCAGUAACGGCGAGUGAAGCGGCAACAGCUCAAAUUUGAAAUCUGGCUCACGCCCGAGUUGUAAUUUGUAGAGGAUGUUUCGGGUGAAGCCGCGGUCCAAGUCCCUUGGAACAGGACGUCAUAGAGGGUGAGAACCCCGUACCUGGCCGCCGGUGCCCCCCGCUGUGAAACUCCUUCGACGAGUCGAGUUGUUUGGGAAUGCAGCUCUAAAUUGGUGGUAAAUUCCAUCUAAAGCUAAAUACCGGCCAGAGACCGAUAGCGCACAAGUAGAGUGAUCGAAAGAUGAAAAGCACUUUGAAAAGAGAGUUAAAAAGUACGUGAAAUUGUUGAAAGGGAAGCGCUUGCGGCCAGACUUGCCCGCGGUUGCUCAGCCCGCCUUUUGGCGGGUGUACUCUUCCGCGGUCAGGCCAGCAUCGGUUUGGGCGGUCGGAUAAAGGCGCUGGGAACGUGGCCUCCCCUCGGGGAGGUGUUAUAGCCCGGCGCGCAAUGCGGCCAGCCCGGACCGAGGUUCGCGCUUUGCUAGGAUGCUGGCGUAAUGGCCGUAAGCGGCCCGUCUUGAAACACGGACCAAGGAGUCUAACAUCUAUGCGAGUGUUUGGGUGUCAAACCCGUGCGCGUAAUGAAAGUGAACGGAGGUGGGAACCGCAAGGUGCACCAUCGACCGAUCCUGAUGUCUUCGGAAGGAUUUGAGUAAGAGCAUAGCUGUUGGGACCCGAAAGAUGGUGAACUAUGCGUGAAUAGGGUGAAGCCAGAGGAAACUCUGGUGGAGGCUCGCAGCGGUUCUGACGUGCAAAUCGAUCGUCAAAUUUGCGUAUAGGGGCGAAAGACU